UUGACCUCAAAUCAGGUAGGAAUACCCGCUGAACUUAAGCAUAUCAAUAAGCGGAGGAAAAGAAACCAACAGGGAUUGCCUUAGUAGCGGCGAGUGAAGCGGCAAAAGCUCAAAUUUGAAAUCUGGCGCCUUCGGUGUCCGAGUUGUAAUUUGAAGAUUGUAACCUUGGGGUUGGCUCUUGUCUAUGUUUCUUGGAACAGGACGUCACAGAGGGUGAGAAUCCCGUGCGAUGAGAUGCCCAAUUCUAUGUAAGGUGCUUUCGAAGAGUCGAGUUGUUUGGGAAUGCAGCUCUAAGUGGGUGGUAAAUUCCAUCUAAAGCUAAAUAUUGGCGAGAGACCGAUAGCGAACAAGUACAGUGAUGGAAAGAUGAAAAGAACUUUGAAAAGAGAGUGAAAAAGUACGUGAAAUUGUUGAAAGGGAAGGGUUUGAGAUCAGACUCGAUAUUUUGUGAGCCUUGCCUUCGUGGCGGGGUGACCCGCAGCUUAUCGGGCCAGCAUCGGUUUGGGCGGUAGGAUAAUGGCGUAGGAAUGUGACUUUACUUCGGUGAAGUGUUAUAGCCUGCGUUGAUGCUGCCUGCCUAGACCGAGGACUGCGAUU
rnacentral:rRNA from 1 species